rnacentral:rRNA from 1 species
CGGGAAACCGGAGCUAAUACCGGAUAAUAUUUUGAACCGCAUGGUUCAAAAGUGAAAGACGGUCUUGCUGUCACUUAUAGAUGGAUCCGCGCUGCAUUAGCUAGUUGGUAAGGUAACGGCUUACCAAGGCAACGAUGCAUAGCCGACCUGAGAGGGUGAUCGGCCACACUGGAACUGAGACACGGUCCAGACUCCUACGGGAGGCAGCAGUAGGGAAUCUUCCGCAAUGGGCGAAAGCCUGACGGAGCAACGCCGCGUGAGUGAUGAAGGUCUUCGGAUCGUAAAACUCUGUUAUUAGGGAAGAACAUAUGUGUAAGUAACUGUGCACAUCUUGACGGUACCUAAUCAGAAAGCCACGGCUAACUACGUGCCAGCAGCCGCGGUAAUACGUAGGUGGCAAGCGUUAUCCGGAAUUAUUGGGCGUAAAGCGCGCGUAGGCGGUUUUUUAAGUCUGAUGUGAAAGCCCACGGCUCAACCGUGGAGGGUCAUUGGAAACUGGAAAACUUGAGUGCAGAAGAGGAAAGUGGAAUUCCAUGUGUAGCGGUGAAAUGCGCAGAGAUAUGGAGGAACACCAGUGGCGAAGGCGACUUUCUGGUCUGUAACUGACGCUGAUGUGCGAAAGCGUGGGGAUCAAACAG